rnacentral:pre_miRNA from 1 species
AUAAUACUCCCUCCGUUCGGAAUUACUUGUCGCAGAAAUGGAUGUAUCUAGACGUAUUUUAGUUCUAGAUACAUCCAUUUCCGAGACAAGUAAUUCCGAACGGAGGGAGUACAAU